ACGGUCAGAGUGUCAUAAACAAUACUAGCCGUCGGAUUUGACCGAGAAGCUCGUCGGGCUGCGUCGAGAUGCAGCCGGAGCAGGUGGCGAAGUCGACCAACCACCAACCCAAGGCCGGUGUGGCGCCGGACACAAAGGGCAAGCACCGCAUCGCUGUUGAGCUCAAGCGCUUGGAGUCUGAGAUUCAACACCUUCAGGAAGAUCUAGAAGAACUCAAAGACAACGGAGACAGUAUCUGCUGUAUUGAAAGAGCUAUUAAACGAAGUUGAGAAAAGAUCGGACCCGUUGCUUCCAAUAACUACAGGACCUGUUGACCCAUCAUGGGAUCAGUGGUUUGAAGGGCCUCAAAACUUGCAUGGUCACCGAUGCUGGCUACUUUGAUAUGUUAGACAUUGUGUUUGAAAAUUGAAAACAGAUAUUUGUUUUAGUAAUAUUGGAUUGGGCAUAGGAAAAUUGUGAAUAGAGCAUGUUUGUGUUUUUUCCAUUUCAUGCAAGGAUUUUGUUCAGGACAAGGAACUAUUAGUUUUACAUGAUACAUUGCAAUUGUUUAUAUUCAACUCUCA